rnacentral:lncRNA from 1 species
UCUUUGGACCAAAAUCAAUAGCAGCUGAAUUAGAAAUGUAGAAAGUUUUGUAAACGUAAAACUAACGAGAAACAUUGCUCGUUUGCCACACGGCGCAAUGCAGGUCCUCGGUGUUUUGUUCGCCAGUGGGAAGGACGAUUUCCGCGUCGCCAACUUCGUACGCCACUUCGUGCUGCUGGCGUUUCACGGCUUGAGACUUCGACAAAUGUGAUGCUCAAUAUGAAGACCAGGCAAGACACGGACAUCGGGCCUAAUCUUUUUGAUCAGCAGCAACGGACAAGCGUUACCGCUGUCUGCGUUGUAGAUAAGUCGAGCGGAAAGGGUGGGACCCACUGCCCCGCCAGCAGCAGCGGCCGAGGCCAUGAGCCUGUUGCGAUGGGAGACGCUGUUCUUUCUGAGCGACGAGGUGUUCCACAUGGUUCGGGCCGCCUCCGACCUGGGCGUGGUGAUGGACGCCUGCGUGUACGGCAUCCCCAGCAUGACCGCCCUGGUGCGCGUCAUGGCCUCGCUCUUCCUGGUCGCCUUCCACGCGCUCUA